UAGCAUUGGAUUUGGGAGUUGAUUUUAAGUCCAUCUUUAACCCAAAAGGUCCAGCUAGCUCAUCUUUAAUAAUACCAGCCCAUACCAGUACCCCGCCUCCACCUUGCUGGUGUCUGAUUCGAAGUGGAGCUCUGUACCCAUUACUGAUCCAGCCACGGGCCCAUCCAUCUGGUCCGUCAAGAGUCACUCUCAUCCCAUCAGUCCAUAAAACCUUUGAAAAAUCUCUCUUCAGAUAUUUCUUGGCCCAGUCUUGACGUUUCGACUUGUGUGUCUUGUUCAGUGGUGGUCAGAUUUCAGCCUUCCUUACUUUGGCCAUGUCUCUGAGCACUGAUCAUCUUGUACCUCUGGGCACUCCAGGUAGGUUGCAGUUCUGGAAUACGACAGCACCGGAGGAUAAGCGAUUCCUGGUACCUUUACGUUUGAGUCUUCUCAAAUCUUUGGCAGUUAAUUUGCGUUUUUUUUUUUCGUAACACGUUUCUUGCGACCCUGUUGACUAUUUGCAUCAAAAUGUUUGCUGAUUCUGUGAUCACGCCCAAAUAUCUAAGCAAUUUCAAGAGUGCUGCAUCCCUCUGAAAAACUUUAUACAUUUUUUUGACUUUUCAGAGUCACUUAAAUCUCUUUUUUGGCCCAUUUUACCUGAGGAAAAGAAGCUGCCUAAUAAUUAUGCACACCUUGAUAUAGGGUUUUGAUCUCCUUAGGCCCCAGCCUCCCUCAUUACACUAAUACACAUUACCUGAUAUGCUUAUAUCCAAUAAGCAUUCAAGUUUAUACAGCUUGGAGUUGGAAAAUAUGCAUAAAAAUGAUGAUAUGAUCAAAAUACUCACUUGCCUAAUAAUUGUGCACACAGUGUAUUACAGUUUGUAAGAUACAGCAUACUUACUGUGAGUUACACCUCACAGUUGCAACUGCACAGAGCUGUACACAUGAGACCCAAUUUUUACCACUUGCACCUGCCUCAACAGCCAGAUUUACAGCCACAUUUGGUGAGUUGUUCGCAUGUCUUGGCUAUUGGAGAGUUGGCUGUCCAGAAGACCUGCCAUUCCUCACCAACCUUUUGACAUCCCCAGUCUGCAGGGUCCUCUGCUUCUGGCUGACACUGGGUUGCCUGGGCCCACACACAACCAGCCUGAUAGGCAGCACGCCUGGUGUGUUGGAGUAGAGCUGCUCUGGUUGGUGGGAUAGACUCAUAGGGCUCUAUUUUCGUGCGCGCCGGUGAGGCGGCAGAGGGCGGCGAGCCCCGCGCAGUUGUAUUUUCGUCUGGCGGAGCCCAGCGUAAGGCCAAUUUGGUAUUUUCGUGGCAUGAGCCGCACGGAGGCGAGCCGAGAUCCGCCAAGCUGGGCAUGGUGGUGUGGCAGGGGGAGGUGUCGACAGAAUCAGCAGGCGCAAUGUCAUUUUCGUGCUCGCCAACGGCGUGUAAAGUGCGCUGAAAGCUCGCCGAUUCAAACCUGGUCAGCUUUCAGCGCAAGGCGGAGCGCAGCUGGUCUAGUAGUAUUUUGGUAGACCGGCGGCGUAUCGACAUACGUCACUGAUGCCUCACCGGCAGGUUUCCACAGUGUCAGGCACAUUUCAGUGCAAUAAAUAAUCAUCAUCAACUAUUAAUCUGAGUCAACACAUAUAUUUAGAUCUAUAUCGAUAUAUUCUGAUCUAUAUCUUAUCUGAUGAGCGCAUUUGGCACGCGUUUGGACACACAACCUGACCGAAUCAACACAGCUGAAACCGCAUCAAAUUAAAUUAAAUAUCUAGUAAAUAAACACACAUGAUGAAGUUAACAAGAUAUGUAAUUCGUCUCCCUCCUUUUCUUUCUUCCUCUUCCUCUUAUUUCUCGCACAGCUCGACCUGGACACGUCUCCGUGUCCUCUGUCCGUCUUGCUGCUGCUGCAGCUGAACAGAUGAUUUGUUUCAGUGCUCAGAUGCGUUCUCUACUUUAAGCCGACAUACGGAUAUUAUAAUAUUCAGUUUUGUGAGCCAAAUUUAUUUUAUAUGCCAACAUCUAUGAAAGAAAGAGCCAGGCCACGGAGCGCGAUGCGUCAUUUACGCACAGAUGGUUCUGAUUUUAAUGCCAUUUUUGGAGUUUAUGUUGUGAUCUGUGCGCUCAACCCACCUUUGUCACGUGAGGUUUGAAUAUGAGCAACUUUAUGUGAGUGUCUUUAUUUGUGGAAAAGGGUGUUUGUCUUACCAGUGGGUCCAACAUUACACACACUAAAUCCAUCUAUGCCCAUAUGAGAGAGUGUGGAGGACACUUGUUGAGGAGCUGCCCUCUGUCGCCAUCUUGUGGCAUUACUGUCUUAAGACAUCUCUUGAUCUCUUUGACUACUUCAUGAAAAUAGUAAUACGCCUCGCCUGUGGCGGAUUUAAAGGCAAGGAGAGGAGCCUAUGUGAUUGGUGAAAACAGGUCUCGGCUGUGUUAAACCCACUACACGCCCUUUCUCCUCCCCGUCUACGACUUAUGGUGCUGGGAGGAGCUGAGUUAGGGAGGGGGGAUACUUACGCCAGGCUGCGCGGCUCACCAAAAUACCAAAAUGUGCUUGGGAACGCCUUGUCAGCGCGGCGGAUCUGACUGACGCUGCGCUUGCGGCACGUCUCUGGCGAGGCACCAAAAUAGAGCCCAUAGGGCCUCUGCUUUCUGGUAAACAAGUCAAGCCUGGCCUCAUCCACAGUAGCAGCUGUGCUGGAUCUGUCAUACAUGAGAAUGACAAACUUCUCAAGCACCUCUAUGUCGCAGUCCUCCACUGUGGGAGGGUAAAUACCCAGUUUGGCGAAUACAGGCAAGGAUUCUGGACAUAUGUCCCAUGUAUGCCAAGCCAUUUUCUUGCCUUUGUUGUGGAAGGCAGACACAGUGUCACAUUCUGUAAAGGCAUGGAAGAAGAGCAUGCCUUUGACCUUCUCCUGGCCAACAUGCUGAAAUAUGUCAUGCACACUGAUCCAGUGCAGAGUCUGACCUUGCCCAAAUGCAAGCCACAUAUGCUGUAGGCCAGCCUCUUGGAGACCGCUGAAUACACUUAAAGCUAAGAUCAGAACAUCUGUGUCAUUUGCCUUGAUCAUGAUGGAUUGGCUCCCAGUUUAAUGUUUGGCAUGCACAAAGAUGCGGCUGUCCGCUUCCUCGUGAGAGCAUUUAUCCAGUCCAUCAAGACCAGUUGCAUGAGUACUGAGGACAGCAGGUCCCUUUGUGACGAUGAUGGUAUUUAGGGCAAACAUUUGUGCAACCUUGUCGGCAAGGGUGGGACAACUCUGUUUUGUUGUCAUUGUGCCUCAGGAAGUUAUGCCAGUUAGAUAGCAUGGUGUUCUUAUUUGUUACCUUGCGUCUUCCCCCCUGGCCACGUUUGGACCUGGUCUCAGCUUUAAGGCUUGAUGGGUUUUACACAUCAAAGACCAGAUGUGUCAUUGUGUACUUGCUGGAGUACAUGUAGAUCACAGGUAGGAAGUCGAGAGCUGCAUAGUCCUCAAAAGUCUUGGAUCAUUUUGGUGGCAGGGCGUGGUCCAAAGCUGACCCAUCUACAAUGAGAACGUCUGCCUCAGGUUCCUUGUCAACUGGUGGGACAUAAUUCUCAAGGAUAGGGGUCAGCUGAGACUUCUGGCAAGUGUAUAAUUUUCCACCCUUGCUCAAUGCAACAGGGAAGGACUGGUUCUCAUGCUGAAAGAACCCCGGAGGUUAUGCUGAAUUACACAGCAGUGAUAUCACCAGUGUGCCCUGGUUGUGUGCUGAUAUUCACUCUAUUACAUCUGCAAGCUUGUACUGUAUAAACAUCCAAAUUCUGUACUGCAAUGGCCCCAUUGGAUGCAUAGACCAAAAAUAUGUGCAUGCCAAAAGUUAAUGUUUCAUAGUCACUAAGAUCGGAUUACUUCAAGGCAAUGGCAGCAAUCUUGGACACCAUCUUGUUUUUCAUAUUUCAUGUUAUAACCCUCAUGAAAAUAACAGAUAAUGGAAAUUAUAUUUUCAUGCAACCAUAUGCACGUAAAAACAAUCGGUGUUACAAAUUUCUCACUCUCCCAAUUCUGUACAAGUAUCUAUAUGCUGUAUCUCAAGAACCGUAAUGGAUACAGAAAUGUACUAGGUACCAAAAUGUCCGCAAUACCCAACUUUAUAUUCAACUUCAAUAUAUGUAUGGGGCUUAAAAUCAAGUCAUUUUGAGUUAUAAAGGAAAAAACACAUUUUUAGGGCGGACAUCUUGGAUUUUUGGGCAGCCAUCUUGGAAUUUUGCGUGGCUAACGUUAUUUUUGAAAAGAGUGAGGUUUGAAGAGUAUAUGUACCAAAUUUCAUGCUUGUAUAACAAAGUGAACGAUUCGGGCUAUAUUAUGCAUUUGUCUGCUCCACUAAAAGAGGAACAGAUUUAGGUCUGGACUGUUCUGGGCCUGAGCAAAGCUUUGGUUAGAAAACUCAUAACACCACUGAGGAGGAUUUCCUGAUACCAAGUAAAUCUUAAAAAAGGAGCCUGAUGAGUCGCAGAGAUCCUUCACAGACCUCCAAACCC